AGUACAAGAGUUAAAAAAGACCCAUGUCAAGGUACCACAGGAAAUUCUCGAACACCGGUGACAAAGAUUCAAAAGCUUGAAGAGGGAUAGCUACAUAAUUUGUGCAGCCUAGUGAAAAACCAAAAUGUGGGGCUCCUUGUUCAAAAAUUAUUAAGUAUUCAAGAAUGUGAUAGCAAGUCAUUAAACCAAGUGUGAAUCCCUUCUGGAUGUGGAGUCCUGUGUGAUUGCACAGGUCAUAUACUUAUGAACUGGCCCAGGCUCCCAGAAAAAAAUGUCAGGAAAUCAGAUCAAAUCUCUCUCCCCUCCCCCAUCUUUCUAAGCCAUGACUGUGAUUUGUACUUCACUUCACUAUAGACACAAUCAAAAGAGAAUUACCUCCAAUCACUGAGGAAUGAGUGGAUAAAUAAAAUGAUAAAAAUGAAUAUAAGUAAAUAGAAAUAUACUCAUUACCACUAUUUUUCAGCCUUAAAAAAGAAGAAAUUCCUGCAAUUUGCAAUAAAAUGGUUAAAACUGGAGGGCAUUACGUUCAGUGAAAUAAGACAGAGAAAGACAAAUACUGCUUCCUAUCCCUUAUAAGUGGAGUCUUAAAAAAAUCCCAAACUGAAUUUAUAGAAACAGAAUAGAGUAGUGGUUGCUAGUGGCAGGUGGGGGGAUAUGUGUGGGGAAAAUGAGGAGAGGCUGGUAAAAGAGUACAAACUUUCAGUUAUAAGACAAAUAAAUGUGGAGUAUCUACUGUAUAGCAUGAUGACUAUAAUACUGAUAAAGGUUGAUAACACUAUAUUGUUUUAAUUUAAAUUUUCUGAGAGAAUAGAUCUUAAGCAUUCUCUCAAUUAAAGAAAAAAAGUAACUAUAUGAGGUAAUGGAUAUAUUAAUUAACUUUUUUGUGGAAAUCUUUCAUAAUGUAUACAUAUAUCUAAUCAUCACAUUAUACAUUUUAAAUAUAUUACCAUUUUGUUAAUUAAACUGCAAUAAAUGGAUAAAAAGAAAAAUAAUUGCAAAUGGAAAUAAUUAAAAAUAAAACAAAAGGAGUUAGGGGUGGCUUAAUGGGUUAAGCCCUUUUACUUUUGCUAAGAUCAUGAUCUCAGGGUCGUGAGAUUGAGCCCCUUGUUGAUCUCUGAGCUGGGCAUGGAGCUGUGUAAGAUUUAAUCUCUCUCCCUUUUCCUCUGCCCUUCCCCUCCAUCUCAAUCUCUCUCUCUCUAAAAAAAAAUAAGUAAAUAAAAUAAUAAUAAUAAAGUAAAAUAAAAAUUUAAAAAAGGGAAAAAUAAAAUAGUUUUCUAUCUCAAAGUGUGGUAAAUAGAAAUAGCAAUAAUUUUAUUUCAUGGUUAAUCACCAAAAAUAUUUAACAACCAUUUACAUUAUUUAUCAUAAAAGUCAGACAAGAACCAUCGAAAUUUACAGUGAGUGAUAAAACUGUAAUGCUUUCAAAAUGGUACCUGCUAGAAUUUCAUUGGUCUUUGCACAUGAUUAUUUAUGACUUGUGAAAAGUAUGUAAUAGGCAGAUAUACCUAAAGGUUAAUUAACAUCUAUGUGAGCAUGACACAUGCAUUUCUAAGUAUUAAUUUUUUUCUUCUUCCCUCCCAAAUUUCUCAACCAGGGCUCACAAAAUUUUUUCACUCAUAACCUAAGGAUAUUUCCCUUUCUGCCAGAGCGCUAUUAUUGAAAGGAGGGGAGUGAAGUACAGAAUACAGAAAAAUUUGAGUAACUGAACAGUAAAUUUCCUUAUCUUUAAGAGAAGGAAUACAGCUAGAGAAGAGGGAAGAGAAGGAAUGAUAUACCCUACCCACUCCCACCAACCAGCCACAGUCAUGCCUUUUAUCACACGUUCCAGCAUCAGGAAGCUGCACAGAACUUGGUUGAGUUCUAUCUUGCUCUUAUUAAUGUCACAUGGUGGUGAAAUGACCCAGGACACUUGUAAUACACAGUCUCAAAAAAGGUGAAGAUUUUAGCCAUUUUUGGGAGAGAUGGUGACUGGAAGCCACAUCUUUUUCUUGACCCAGGAGGGACUAGAUGGAAUCAGUUUGGAAGUGCCUAUUCAGCUGGGAGAGCAGAGGAGCAGAAACAAAUCUUUUACAUAGAAUUUUAUAUACCAGGAUAUGUUCGGUUCUGAAUUUUAGAAAAAUACUAUUACAAAGUUACAACCUUCCUAAGCACUGAUGGUUUUGAGAAGUUCAAACAUAUGCAUAGAGAAGAUUUUUUCCCUCAAUUCGUAUAACAAUGAGCUGCCUUGCCAUAAAAGUUGAUUUUUCAUUGUCUUUGAAGUCUCCAACUUGGAUAUAAGACAUAUUUACAUAUAUAUGUUUACAUAUAAAUGUCUAUAUGUCUAAAACUAUAUAUAUUUUAAAAGAAGUAAACCAAAUCAAGAAUUUGCAAAAUGUCUGAAGCACCCCGGGUUCCAUAGAACAGAACUUGAAAAUUACUGAUCUAGAUACUGGGUGUACAGGGAUAAAUAAGAGGAGGUGUCUGCCUGAGAACACUGCACAGUCCUAGAGGCCUGCUUAAUAGUGUGCCCAUCAAUUUAGCUUGAUGGCUAGUUUCCAACUAGAAUGGAAAGGUACUUUUUGUUUUGUUUUUCCCUACUCUAUUAAUCGUCAUUUUUACCAUCCUUCAGUGCUUAUAAAAUUUUUAAAAAUCAUGUGCAAUAAUUAAGAUUUAAUGUUGAGCUUAAAGAUAGAUUUAUUUAUUUAUUUAUUUAUUUAUAAAUAUUUAUAAGAGAGCGAGAUAUCACAAGCAGGGGGGAAGGGCAGAGGGAGAAGCAGAGUCCCUGCUGAGCGGGAAGCCCAACACAGGGCUUGAACCCAGCACCCUAGGAUCAUUACCUGAGCCGACUGAGCCACCCAGGUGUCCCUAAUGUUGAGUUUAAAAACUUCAAAGGCAUAGGUAAUUUCUGAAAGGUGUUCCUGAAGUUUCUCAAACUUCCCCAGUCAGUAUAACCAGUGUAACAAAAGGGAAAUGUGCAGACCAAGCCCACUGGCAGCUUUUUUUCAAAAGUAGGAGACCAGAAUUUUUUCUGUCAACCAAAUGAGAAGGUAUCUGAAACAUGUGAUCUCAGACAUAUCCAUACUUUCCUAGAAUUAAUAUGAUGGUGGGAGAAAAUUUGCCACUUCUUAGCUUCAUAAAAGACUGCUUAUGACAAAUAUUUAUUUAAUUUUAGUUUCAAUCUUUUUUGUCUUAAAUAUUCUUUCAAUUUUAGUUUCAGUUAUUUUUGAAGGGAGAAUGCAUUAGUAUAACUCAAGUUUUUAGAAAGUCGUAAAGGAGUAUUAAAUGGAAAGUAUCCAUUCUAUAGCUAUUCCAUAGUCAUCCAGCUCCUCCCCAAGGAGUUAGCUUUACCAUUUUGUUACAUAUCCUUUCACAGAUUGUUUUAUCACAAACUACUCGGUGUUCUUAGGUUUGUCCCUCCUGACAUGCCCCCUUUUAACCUAUGUGGUAGAAUGUUAUACAUUGCUCUUAUUUUAUAUGUAUCUCCCCUUUUUGAUAUCUGCCCUUAUUUUAUUUUUUUAAAUAUUUAUUUAUUCAUGAAAGACACACAGAGAGAGGCAGAGACAUAGGCAGAGGGAGAAGCAGGCUCCCUGUGGGUAGCUGAUGCGGGACUCCAUCCCAGGACCCUGGGAUCACAACCUGAGCCAGAAGCAGAUGCUCAAUCACUGAGCCACCCAGGUGCCCUAUCCUUAUUUUAUUUUAUUAUGUAUAUAUUUUCUCUAAAUGCUAUACUUCAGAUGUUAUUUCAUAUAUUUUAUAAGAGUUUUUUCCUUCUUUGUACAGGCAUAGUAUUCCAUUGAAUUGAUGCAAUAUUACCUUUAGAUAUGGACAAUCAUUUUAAAAUCAGGAAUAAAUCAUCAUUAGUGUGGAGUAUCAUCAGGAAAAUAUGAUUUACUAUGAGAUGUCUUAUCACCUCAAUGAUGAUUUUAAGAACACGAAAAAUUGAGACCUAUUCCUUAAAAUGUUAGUGGCAUCACACAUGUGUUACUUUAGUUCACAUUUAUCUCGUGGCUUCAGAAUGGCAAAUGCUAUUGGUUAUUUCUCUGUAUUUUAAAAUCCCACUGAAUAUCAAACUUAGAAGUAAAUAAAGGGUUAGAGAGGAAAUUCUCUUCAGGCAAGUGAGACUAGGAAAAGUUCAUUUUUAGUGUAUUUUUAGUAUAUAAGUAAAGUUUAUUUUACUCAUAUAUUUUUUUUAAAAAAAGGAAACAGUAAAAAAAAAUAAAACAAAAUAAAAAAA
rnacentral:lncRNA from 1 species